GCCGCUCCCCGGACGGUCGCGGUCCGCUCGCAAGUGCGGAUUGAGGAAAGUCCGGACACCUCAGGGUGGCGCGCCCUGCGAAAGCGGGGGACGGGAACCGCGAGGAACCCGGACGGAAAGUGCCACAGAAAACACACCGCCGAUGGCCCUGCGCGAGCAAGGCACAGGCAAGGGUGAAAUGGUGGGGUAAGAGCCCACCGCGCCGAGGGCAACCGGAGCGGCAUGGCAAACCCCGCGUGGUGCAAGACAGAACAGGAGAAGGGUGACCCGCCCGACCAAGAUCUCCGGGUAUUAGUCGCAUCCCGCGCAAGCGGGGCGUCCUGCUCCGCAGGAUGAGAGAAAUGACCGUCCAGUCCCGGCACUCCGGGACGGACAGAAUCCGGCUUACAGGGGAGCGGCGCGC
rnacentral:RNase_P_RNA from 1 species